AUGGGUAGCAAUAUCCGUCCUAGAGUGUCGUAAGGGGCGUAACACGUAUGCAAUCUGCCCUCAACAGGAGAAUAGCUCGGGGAAACUCGAAUUAACACUCCAUAAGAUCACACGAAGGCAUCUGAGAGUGAUUAAAACUACGGUGGUUGAGGAUGAGCAUGCGGAUGAUUAGCUAGUUGGCGGGGUAAUGGCCCACCAAGGCGAUGAUCAAUAGGGGAACUGAGAGGUUGAUCCCCCACACUGGCACUGAGAUACGGGCCAGACUCCUACGGGAGGCAGCAGUAGGGAAUAUUGGACAAUGGAUGCAAGUCUGAUCCAGCCAUGCCGCGUGCAGGAAGAAGGCCUUCUGGGUUGUAAACUGCUUUUGCCAGGGGAUAAAAAGUCCCUGCGGGGAAAAUUGAAGGUACCUGGUGAAUAAGCCACGGCUAACUACGUGCCAGCAGCCGCGGUAAUACGUAGGUGGCAAGCGUUGUCCGGAUUUAUUGGGUUUAAAGGGUGCGUAGGCGGUCUUGUAAGUCAGUGGUGAAAUCCGGCAGCUCAACUGUCGAUGUGCCAUUGAUACUGCAGGACUUGAGUACAGACGAGGUAGGCGGAAUUGACGGUGUAGCGGUGAAAUGCUUAGAUAUCGUCAAGAACACCGAUAGCGAAGGCAGCUUACUAGACUGUAACUGACGCUGAUGCACGAAAGUGUGGGGAUCAAACAGGAUUAGAUACCCUGGUAGUCCACACUGUAAACGAUGAUUACUCGAUGUUGGCGAUACACUGCCAGCGUCUUAGCGAAAGCGAUAAGUAAUCCACCU
rnacentral:rRNA from 1 species